rnacentral:rRNA from 1 species
UAUGAACAGAACUGUGGGGACGCAUGUGGAGAGCACGAGCCGGGAAUGGAAAUACCGUACAAGCGGAGAAGGAGUCUGGUUGGCAAAUCCGCCAGGCAAUCCGAAGACGUGAUGUGGAGCGAAUUAGAGUAGCGAAGCGUGUGAGCCAUGUGCCGAGAAAAGCCGCUAUUGUUUCAUGUGUGCCCGUACCGUAAACCGACACAGGUGGAUGAGGAGAGAAUCCUAAGGCCGGCGGAAGAAGCAUUGUUAAGGAACUCGGCAAAAUGACCCCGUAACUUCGGGAGAAGGGGUGCCUGCUAACGCAGGCCGCAGAGAAUAGGCUCAAGCAACUGUUUAGCAAAAACACAGGUCUAUGCGAAACCGAAAGGUGAAGUAUAUGGGCUGACGCCUGCCCGGUGCUGGAAGGUUAAGAGGAGAGGUUAGCGCAAGCGAAGCUUUGAAUUUAAGCCCCAGUAAACGGCGGCCGUAACGAUAACGGUCCUAAGGUAGCGAAAUUCCUUGUCGGGUAAGUUCCGACCCGCACGAAAGGCGUAAUGAUUUGAGCACUGUCUCGACAAUGCAACCGGUGAAAUUGAAUUACCAGUGAAGAUGCUGGUUACCCGCGCCAGGACGGAAAGACCCCAUGGAGCUUUACUCCAGUUUGGUACUGGGAUUCGGUACUGCAUGUACAGGAUAGGUGGGAGACUAAGAACUUGGGACGCCAGUUUCAAGGGAGUCGCUGUUGGGAUACCACCCUUGCAGUAUUGGAUUUCUAACCGGCCGCCGUGAUCCGGCGGUGGGACAAUGCCAGGCGGGGAGUUUGACUGGGGCGGUCGCCUCCGAAAGGGUAUCGGAGGCGCUCAAAGGUUCCCUCAGAAUGGUUGGAAACCAUUUGAAGAGUGCAAAGGCAGAAGGGAGCUUGACUGCGACACCGACGGGUGGAGCAGGUAGGAAACUAGGACUUAGUGAUCCGGUGGCAUAAAGUGGGAUUGCCAUCGCUCAACGGAUAAAAGCUACCCUGGGAUAACAGGCUUAUCACUCCCAAGAGUUCACAUCGACGGAGUGGUUUGGCACCUCGAUGUCGGCUCAUCGCAUCCUGGGGCUGUAGCAGGUCCCAAGGGUUGGGCUGUUCGCCCAUUAAAGCGGUACGCGAGCUGGGUUCAGAACGUCGUGAGACAGUUCGGUCCCUAUCCGGCGCGGGCGGAGGAUAUUUGAGAGGAGCUGUCCUUAGUACGAGAGGACCGGGAUGGACGGACCACUGGUGUAUCUGCUGUCGACCAACGGCAUGGCAGAGUAGCCAAGUCCGGAAGGGAUAAACGCUGAAGGCAUCUAAGCGUGAAGCCCCCCUCAAGAUGAGAUAUCCCUCACAUAAGUGAGUAAGAUCCCUUGAAGACUACAAGGUAGAUAGGGCAGAGGUGGAAGCACGGUAACGUGUGGAGCUGACUGUUACUAAUCGAUCGAGGGCUUGAUC